rnacentral:lncRNA from 1 species
AGAUUGCCAGUCGAGAUGCGGCAAAGCAGAGGCAAACAGCUAGGCACAAAGCAAUAGAGUUGUAAACUUUGUUUUUUUUUGUUUUUUGUUUUUUUUUCCUGCUGCCGCCUAUACUGCCUCUCUCCCAUAGGAAGAACACUACCUCUGGGUAGCCAGGAGCUGAGAUGCAGUCUGAAUGUUCACGGUGGCUUCUGACGUGGCAGCGUGAAUUCUCAGCUGGGCAGUGCUGAGGAUUGAACCCAUGGCCUCGUUGCAUGUCAGGGCUCCAGUGCAGAUUUAGAUCCACCUUCUGGAUGCUUUGGUCCCUGGAACAAGGCAGCAGGCUCUUGCUAUCAAGAACCUGUCCCUGAGAAGAAACAUUCCUGGUGCCCCACGAGCCUGUGGACUCUUCUGGAACAUGGAACCCAACAUCAAGCCUCCUGACUUACCUUACUCUGUUCCCUUACCAUAGGUGCUGGGAACAUUAAAUCUUCAUGUCUGGAGGACAAGAAAACUAAAAGUACUCAUUGUUCAGUAGCCACUGAGGCUGAUGGGAGGCGGGACUGUGGAUUCACGUGGCUGACGAUGACUGGUCUUCCUGGCCAUAUUACUUUCUCUUUCUUUUAUCAAGUACAGACAUGGCGCCUGCCUGGAGUGGUGGUAUGAGUGCCCAAUCUCAACGAAACAACCAAGGCCACCUGUUCCCAUUUUUUUUUAUUGCUGUUGUUACAUGUGUAUAUGUGACAUAUGUGCAUGUAUGUUCAUGUGUUUGUGGGUACACAUUGUAUGCCGGUGUGUGUGGAUAUGUCUCUACGUGGCCAUUGAAGAAAUUAAAACAGGAAGACUCGAUUGUUA